rnacentral:misc_RNA from 1 species
GGUCCUUAAGCACAAAAUGGCUGAGCAGAUAAAGCGGGAGAUAGCUACAAUGAAGUUAAUUAGACAUCCACAUGUCGUUCAGUUAUACGAGGUGUUGGCUAGCAAGACAAAGAUAUUCAUUGUUCUGGAGUUCGUUACAGGCGGAGAGCUCUUUGACAAAAUUGUAAAUCAUGGACGGAUGCAUGAAAAAGAAGCAAGGAAAUACUUUCAGCAGCUUAUUAAUGCUGUUGAUUAUUGUCAUAGCAGGGGAGUCUACCAUAGAGAUUUAAAGCCUGAGAAUUUACUCUUGGAUGUCAAUGGAAACCUCAAGGUUUCUGAUUUUGGAUUGAGUGCUCUGUCCCAGCAAGUCAGGGAUGAUGGCUUACUCCACACCACAUGUGGAACUCCCAACUAUGUU